rfam:Phytophthora infestans T30-4 supercont1.81 genomic scaffold, whole genome shotgun sequence.
GACAGCUUGGCCGAGUGGUUAAGGCGAUAGACUAGAAAUCUAUUGGGGUAACCCGCGUGAGCUCAAAUCUCACAGCGGUCG